rfam:Phaseolus vulgaris cultivar G19833 chromosome 6, whole genome shotgun sequence.
AGGUGCGAUCAUACCAGCACUAAUGCAUCGGAUCCCAUCAGAACUCCGCAGAUAAGCUCGCUUGGGCGAGAGUAGUACUAGGAUGGGUGACCUCCUGGGAAGUCCUCGUGUUGCACUUC